UUUACUCUUUUUCUGUAGUUCUUUAUUCUUUUAUUCUGGGUUUCGGAAUAUAUCUUCAAGUAUCUCGUUUUGAGUCGCUGGAUCUGUCUUUUGAUGCACGGCCUGUGUUUUGCUGAGGAUUAGAUAGAUGAGUUUCUGGGUGUGAUGUAGAAAUGGCAGAGCUACCAACCAUUUUGGACUCUUUUUGGCAUCCUCUCCUGAUCAACCUCGACUAUCACUGUGGUGAGUGUGGCGCAGUGAUCAGCCUCGAGGUGUUCCGGAGCGGACACACCUACAUGCACGUGGAGGAGCCACAUCUCUACCCUGAGGUUCUGGUGAACUGUGAAGGUGGCGCGUUCCGAGUUCAGAGCACCCAUUGUGAAAUCACUAUCCACUUCUCUACCUAUGCAGGGAGUCGAGGAGACAUAAGGGUUGAUCCUUAGCUUAGUUCUUAGUUUGUAGACUGUUUUUGUUGCCAAGAUUUGUUCAGGAUUUUGAUUUGGAUUUGGCAAAACAUAUUAGUCUCUGUUCAUCUUUUGGGGGUUUUUAAUUCCUUUGCCCUUUGACAUAUGUUUGAACACAACAGCUUAAUUACACAAUGAAUGAUUAGCGUUGCAUCAAAA